CUCGUAGGCGGCCAACUAAGUCGGACGUGAAAUCCCUCAGCUUAACUGGGGAACUGCGUCCGAUACUGGAUGGCUUGGAUUUGGGAGAGGGAUGCGGAAUUCCAGGUGUAGCGGUGAAAUGCGUAGAUAUCUGGAGGAACACCGGUGGCGAAGGCGGCAUCCUGGACCAAUAUUGACGCUGAGGAGCGAAAGCUAGGGGAGCAAACG
rnacentral:rRNA from 1 species